rnacentral:lncRNA from 1 species
AUGUUUCUGUGGCAACGAACUAAAUGUCAACAGGUAUUCACCUAAACAAGAAUCGGAAUGCAAUCGUGUAUGUUCCGGAGAAAGUACCAGGAAGUGUGGAGGAACUUGGAGGAUGUCCAUCUAUGCAGGUAUAGACCCUUUUUCCAUUUACUGAAUUUGUUUUGUGUUCAAAUGUAUGUGUUUAAAAUAGAAAAACCUGGAUGUAGCAUUAUUUGAUUAUGGACUUUUGUUGACGCACAAUUUUAAAUUUUAAAAAUAUAGCAUAAAAGGAGUGGACAGACCAUCAACGAAUCGAAGGAAAGACAAAUCACAUUCGAAAUAAAAGGCAAAAGUAGUAUACAGCUGUUCGAAAGUCAUAAAUCAAUUGAGAGAAUAAAACUCUGGGUUUCAAACUAACACUGAGGGAAACACAUCAACUAUAAGAGGAAAAAAAAAUGAAACAACAGAAACACUGAAGUGCAACAAAAAACUAAAAGACAACGCAACACUCGACGAAACUAUCGGGUUAACAACUGCUUAUUUUCUGACUUGGUAAAAUACAUAUAUAAGUACGCAAUGCAUGUUGUUGUGUAAUAUGAUAGAUGCUGUUUGUGCUUCUUUGUUUAACAUUUGUUUGUUUUUGUUUUAAUUGAGAUUGUGACUCAGUGAUGACUGCUGUACCCCUUUGUUAACAUUUAUAGCUAUUAUAUGUCUGUUUUGUUUACGCAUCGUUGUAAAUAUAAUGGAAUGUAAUGCGAAUGUCAUACAAGUGAGAGGUUCAGCGCUAUAAAAACAAUAUCAAUCCGUUCUACGUUUGAAAAUGAAUGUUCUAAGUCUGGAAUAUGACGGUUGCUGUCCAUUCGUUUGAUGUGUUUUAUCUUUUAAUUUGACUAUUUGAUUAGGGACUUUCCGUUUUGAAUUUUUUCGGAGAUCAGUAUUUUUGUGAUUUUUUCUUUUCACUGAUACUUUAAGUAUUAAGUUAAGGAACUAUUUUAUGUAUAAUAUCUUGCUAUUGUUUUUAUUUCAGUGAAUGUUUAAGUUUACAGAACCAUAAGGAAACAUCCUGCAGUUGAAGAUCUGUUUACAGCCUUUGCUGCACUAGAUUAAAUAUUUUGUAAAUACAAUACUGAUUAAAACAAGAC